rnacentral:rRNA from 1 species
UUACACAUGCAAGUCGAACGGUAGAGGGGGCAACCCCUUGAGAGUGGCGAACGGGUGAGUAAUGUAUCGGAACGUGCCCAGUCGUGGGGGAUAACGUAGUGAAAAUUACGCUAAUACCGCAUACGAUCUAUGGAUGAAAGCGGGGGAUCGCAAGACCUCGCGCGAUUGGAGCGGCCGAUAUCAGAUUAGGUAGUUGGUGGGGUAAAGGCUCACCAAGCCAACGAUCUGUAGCUGGUCUGAGAGGACGACCAGCCACACUGGAACUGAGACACGGUCCAGACUCCUACGGGAGGCAGCAGUGGGGAAUUUUGGACAAUGGACGCAAGUCUGAUCCAGCCAUUCCGCGUGCAGGACGAAGGCCUUCGGGUUGUAAACUGCUUUUGUACGGAACGAAAAAGCUCUUAUUAAUACUAGGAGUCCAUGACGGUACCGUAAGAAUAAGCACCGGCUAACUACGUGCCAGCAGCCGCGGUAAUACGUAGGGUGCAAGCGUUAAUCGGAAUUACUGGGCGUAAAGCGUGCGCAGGCGGUUAUAUAAGACAGAUGUGAAAUCCCCGAGCUUAACUUGGGAACUGCAUUUGUGACUGUAUAGCUAGAGUACGGCAGAGGGGGAUGGAAUUCCGCGUGUAGC